UUUUGUUUUUUGUCUUGUUACACAUACAUAUAAUGUUGUGGAAAAAUGUCGUUUACGUCGUUAUUUAAGUCACAUUUAAAACUGGUUUGAUUUGUAUUCGUCAUUAAACUUGAUUUUGUUUUGCAUUCUUUUACUAAUAACAUUUAAAAAGAUCACCAAAGUUACAGAUUUCCCAUAUUACGUUGCUCACGUUGCUUAAUUUUCUUUUAAUCAUAAUCUUGAUGUAUUUUAGUUGUUUUCUUUUCUUUUCUUUUUUGUUUUUGUUUUUGUUUACUCCUCUUAGAUUAGAACUAAUAAUAUGUAUUUUAUUGAUUAAUUACCCGGCAUUUUGGUUGAUUUUUAAAGUAAGGUAUGUACCAGAUAGAUGCAUCAUGAUCUCUCCCUAAUCCUAACGCACGAAUAAGUGUCACUAUCGUAUUGAUUUUGCUAGUCGAAUUUCAGCUAAGGGUUAUCCGAUCUGAUCUGGUGCGCAUUUGGAACACUACGUCGAGAGUGAAGGGUGUGGUUUAGUCGGUGUCGGUAUCGGCUAACGGAUAAUGGUUAAUGGCUAAUGGCUAUGGGGAUCGCGCAUGUGGUCCGGGGGUUCGAGGUUCGAGUGGGACUCUGGGUGUAGUUGGAAGAGUAUAGAGUACACACAUAAUAUAUAUGAUGGUAUCAUAAGUUCAUAAGUUAUUCAAAUAUAACGUUUAAAUUGCUUGGAGUUAGUCCGUCACUUCUUGAAAUCUCGGUAAUUGUGGCAUAUAAUUAAGUCGUUACGUUAGAUUUAGAUUUGUAUUUGUAUUUACUUUUUUUUAUUUCCUUUAGGAAGAGUUGUGCAAAUUGCUGUUCUAGCUUCGAUUUCGAUCUGAUUAUAUAUCUAGGUAUAUAUCUAUAUUUCUUGUAUAUAAUUGUAGACAUCUAUAAACGGCACAUUUAUAAGUAAUAUGUAGAAACAAUGCGAUCCCUUUCUAUUUCUUACUUAUCUUCUCUCCUUAUUUUUUUGUUCAAGUUUUUUACUUCAUUUUUUUCUUCUUUUCUUCUUCGUUUUCCUCGAUCUAUCUUUAGUUUAAAGCUCAAUUGAAUUUUGACAGAUAAAAAUGUAAGUUCCCAUGUGGAUAUCCCGGCUUCUUGUCUUUUAUUGGGGCCUUGCCUCUGAGCAGAACAUAGUUUGGAAAUGAUAUCUAAGGCGCUCCUCCACGAUCUCCAAUCUUCUCCUCCAACUUUUUUGUUUGUUUGUUUGUUUCGAUUUUGUUUGUUUUUGUUUGUUGUUUUGCUGCACGACACUGAAGAAACCAUUGAAAUUGUAGCGUGUGUGAGUUGAGUUGAGUUGGAUGGAGGGGGAAGUUAUCCAGCUUUGCUAUAUAUAAGUAUACGCGUGUAUAUAGGGACAACGGUUACAGCCUAGCUUUUCUUGGAUGGGAGGAGAUAGCAGCUUGUUAUUGGCAUUUUCAUUUUCAUUAGUGAUUAGUGGAUUGUUGUAGGGUUUUCCCCACCGAUAUUCCGCUUCAUUCUUUAUGCUUUCUGAUUUCUGCUUUCCGCUGCGAGUAGUUAAAGCUUUGGACUUUCUCAUGUAUUGUGUGGUAAAGUAAAUUAUUGUUGAAUAUUUCGCUCAUUUUACAACUACGAGAUGCAUUCAUUGUCGGCACACAUUUCAGCUUCAGCUUAAACUAAGUGAAUAUAUAAUGUAAAUGUUGGUUCUUUCUCGGCGAUCUCAAAUCGAUCUCAAAACGAUCUCAAACCCCGAAUCGCGAACUCCUUUGCAUUGUUUCGUUUUCGUUUUUUUGCUUAAAACUAAAAUUGUUUGAUUCGUUUUUUUGUUGGUUUUUGUUUUUUUUUUUUGCAUUGGGGUUGCUUUAAGUAAACAUUAAGAAAUAAGUUUAAAAUUUUAAUCCCUUGUGUAGAAACGUUACUAGAACAACGUUAAAUAAAUGGAAAAUGAACAAGUCAACAAAUUAGCCCACACAUUGAUUGCACAGCCCCACAAAAUGUUAAUCGCAUCCAAACGCAAAACUAAUUAAUAUUAAUCAAUUAAUAAGCUAAUAAUAUCAGCUAUGUCGAGCCUCGUUAGAAGGACUAGUAGAAUUUGAAACAAUUUUUCCAGCUAAAGACUUUAUAAAAUAAACUAUGGUUUUAAAAUUAAAAUUUCAGCAGGGUAUAUUAACAUUAAACAUUUCAUAAAACAGGAAUUGAGAAUGCCGAAUUAAAAAGACAAUAUCAAAAUGUGCUACCAGUGAAACGUCAAGAGAUUUGAAAUCAUUCACUAGUUUGCAAGUGAUUUCAAAUCUAAGGAGAUUUCUGAAAGUUCGAUUCAACAUUUUGCGGGACUGGUACCGCCCUCCGUUCGGUUCUUUCGCCCUAUUACAUGUAUUUUUGAGGAUUACCAACUAAUUUCUUGCGAACUUGGGAAACUAAGUCUAAAUUAAAGGUUCUGUGAAGGAUGUACACAAUUAUAAAUUAGGUUUGGCCCGGGAGAGUCGGAGGAGAUCGUCGUCGCCCGCACCGCAUAAAUAACAACUCAUCAUAAUGUUAACUUGAACUGUGUCCUCAAUAUAGUACAAUUACUAAGCAUACGUUUCAUAUUGAUAUUGAUAUUGUUUGUUUGUUUGUUUGUUUGCUGUUGCUUGUUGAUUUUGGCGAAACUAAAACUAGUUUGUAAAAUAUUGAAAUGUCGUUGCCACCACCUCCCUCCGGCGGACGGUGGAGAAGAGUUACCUUGUUAGUGUUAUAUUACCCGUACACCACUUUGAUCUAAAGUUAAUUAAUACGAAAUUACAACGAAAAGCAGCUGCGAAAGAAGCCUGGUUCGCGAUAUUUACCAAUUCGAAGGAUCAACAUGUGGAAAUCAACAAAAAUUUCGUUAGGCAUUCGUUUAAAAAAAUAAUAUAUAUAUGGUACAACUAAAUAUCGUUAGCCUUAGUGUGUAGGAGGUACAUAAAUAAGAGGACAUUGAGUGAUAUGCCUUGGACUCGAGGAGGGGAGAAGUUCGUAGUCUGACUGCGUGUGGUGCAUACAAGAGGGUAAACUAGGUAAACUAGGGACUAACAUAAAAUAUCAGCACUGCCAACGUAACGAAUCUGCUGCUACCGUGUUAUUUGCACGUUUGAAUUUAAGUAUUCUACAUUGUUACAGUUCCAUCCGCUUGGUUUUCGUUUCGUAAAAACUUUAAAUGUUAGUUCUAGGCUUAGGUAUGUAUGUAUGUAUGUAUAUACUAGGCUCUGCUCUAUAAGUAUAGCUAUUGUUUUGACCAAAAGUUUGUCCCUUGUUGAAAUUGCAGUUCUCGCAUCGCCCGCUUAACUCAUCGGGCCUCUUCUGCAUUCAUACUUUUUUUUUUGUUUUUUUUUUUCGUUUUGGUAGAGCCCAACUUACAAACUAUUAAAUGUUCUUGCUCAGUUUUGUCAGCGCCCUAGUUAUUGAAGUAUUUUCAUUAGUACAUAGUCAUGCUACUAAGUUGUGUCUACACUCUUUCAAUGCUUCGCUUUUUGUCGCUUUAAUGUCGCUUGUGGUUUUUGUUUGUAAUUUGGUGGUGGUCUUCGUUCACAGUACAGAGAAUCAGAGUGGUUGGUGUUCUUGUGGUGUUUGCUGUGUGAGUCGAUCAGCAACGUAUUCAUUUUGUAUACUAAAAACCUUUGGUUGUAUGCAUUCAUUCAUUAUCAUUCAUCAUGUCUUCAUUUCGUAUCGUGUAAAAAUAUAUUGUACAAUUUAAUCGUAAUUUCUAUUACAAAACUUGUCUCUCUCUCGUGUGGAUGACGCUUUUCACUUGUUUUCACUUUCUUAAUUUUUGUUUUGCUUGAUUUUGUUUUGUUUAGUUUUCUGGUGUUGGUUGGUGUUGCUGUCGUAGUUUUUGUUCCCUUUAGUUGAUUUCCUAUUUGCAUUCAAUUUGUUUGCUACGCUUGUUUUUGAGAAUUCUCACAUUUCGCUUUCGGUUUUUGUGUAUUUUUCUACGAUUUCGAUUUCGCAAACUUGUGCCUGACAUUCGAUUGGCUAUCAUGUCCUAUCAUUUCUCACUGUGUGGCUAUCUGCUUUGUGUGUGGAUGAGUGAGAGUGUGGAUGGUGUUUGUGUGUCUUUGUGGGAUUUUCAUUCCUCUGCUUACUAUAUAUGUAUAUAACUAAUGCAUGCAAGAUCUUCGUAUUCUGGUUGGUUUUUCCU